AUGCAGCCCCCGCGCUACCAUUAUGCUACUAAAGAAGCCGUCGAAGGGCAAAGCGGCGGUUGUUGCUGCUGGCUCGGCACCUAUGGUUCCGCUGAUGAGGCCACAUGUGUGUACGACGUCCCCAUGUGGCGUUUCGGCCGGCUAAGGGGCGAGAUGAAUUGCCCAGAGAUCGAAAACCGGGGGCAGGCGGAGUUCAUCGGCCUGAAGAAUCUGGUCAUACGGCUAAUGGAAGCGAGGAAGAAGAAGCUGGGGAUCCACAUUGCUUUCGGAGAGAUUGAUGAAAUGGUGAUGGCGAGGUUUGCGCAUGAGAAUCCCCAGUAUAAGCAGGCGAAGAAGGAAGGCGAGGGUAGCCCCUCGAGGGUGAUCCCCAUCGAGUCUGACUCGGAGGAGGAGGAGGGGGAGAAGGAGAAGGAGCUCCACAACUUUGACAAACCCACCACCGACCCAUUCAGGAGGCAGUUCGUGAGAGCCUCAGGUGCUGCUGAGACUGCUGAGUCACGCCACAACGACAUUGCUCACGAUGACAACGUCCUUACCUGUUCGAUGGCGAUACGAGAUGGCGCUCGCACAAGGGGCGAGAUCGUGACACUCGAGGCCUCCUCGCUACUGUGUUGGCAACGAGCCAUGUCUUUCAACCUUGAGUUGAUUGUUGUCUCGCCUUCCGAGGAUCGUCAGCAUUUUGGCAAACACUCCGGUCCAAACCUGGCCAACUGGGCAGGUCCUCGCGGGUUGGUCCGUUAG
rnacentral:rRNA from 1 species